AGAUUGAACGCUGGCGGCAUGCCUUACACAUGCAAGUCGAACGGCAGCACGGGAGCAAUCCUGGUGGCGAGUGGCGAACGGGUGAGUAAUACAUCGGAACGUGCCCAAUCGUGGGGGAUAACGCAGCGAAAGCUGUGCUAAUACCGCAUAAGAUCUACGGAUGAAAGCAGGGGAUCGCAAGACCUUGCGCGAAUGGAGCGGCCGAUGGCAGAUUAGGUAGUUGGUGAGGUAAAGGCUCACCAAGCCUUCGAUCUGUAGCUGUCUGA
rnacentral:rRNA from 1 species